rnacentral:rRNA from 1 species
AUUGAACGCUGGCGGCAUGCCUUACACAUGCAAGUCGAACGGUAACAGGUCUUCGGAUGCUGACGAGUGGCGAACGGGUGAGUAAUACAUCGGAACGUGCCUAGUAGUGGGGGAUAACUACUCGAAAGAGUGGCUAAUACCGCAUGAGAUCUACGGAUGAAAGCAGGGGAUCGCAAGACCUUGUGCUACUAGAGCGGCCGAGGGCAGAUUAGGUAGUUGGUGGGAGAAAAGCUUACCAAGCCGACGAUCUGUAGCUGGUCUGAGAGGACGAUCAGCCACACUGGGACUGAGACACGGCCCAGACUCCUACGGGAGGCAGCAGUGGGGAAUUUUGGACAAUGGGCGAAAGCCUGAUCCAGCAAUGCCGCGUGCAGGAUGAAGGCCUUCGGGUUGUAAACUGCUUUUGUACGGAACGAAAAGCCCUGGGUUAAUACCCUGGGGUCAUGACGGUACCGUAAGAAUAAGCACCGGCUAACUACGUGCCAGCCGCCGCCGUAA